CACGUAAACAAAGUUUAAGUAUCAUUAAUAAUAACCAAAUAUGCAUUAUCAACAUGUAAACAAGAAAUAUCUGGCAGUGGAAGAAUCCACUGUGAUAACCACAAUCGCAUUUCAACAAUAACAAACAAGUGAUAAAAAGAUAACAGCAUCUCAAUAACAACAAACAAUUUGCCACCAGCAAAUCAGCAUUUUACUAGUAUAAAUAGUUGUAAGAUCUUAUAUUAGAUGCAGUUUAACGAAUAUCAGUAAAGUGUACAUACAUAUUUCGGCGUAGCAAUAAAAAUUUAUUUUUUUCGGGCGGAUCACAGAUUGCACAGAAGUUUAAAUAUAAGAGUUAGUUGCGAAAAGCCACUAGUCCCACAUAGCAUUCGCCGGCUAGGUGGGAGAGCCUCAGAUAAUAUUCAAUCCUACAUCGAAAAGUUCUCCUGUUGCCACAGCCUGUGCAACGGAGGCACACACAGUGGGAGAUACAGGAAGUUAUGAUUUUUUUUCAAAAAAUAUGUGUGCCAUUUUUAUUGGGUUAAUCAUUCCCAUAUAAUUAAUAUAAGAAUUUUCAAACAUCCGUUUGACUAUAAAAAUAUACAUCGGUCAAUCUUUUUAGUGAAACUCAAAGAGCGUUUUUAUUUGAUAUUAACAUCCCCUCCAGACGGAGGUAACAGAUUGCGCCAACAUAUUGAAACAUUUCCAGCUGCUCACCAACACUGUUACAUUUUCUUUAAGUGCGGGAGAAAGUGUAAGUAAAAAAGAGAAAAACUAUCGACAUUCAAGCUUAUCGAAAGAAGAAUUAAUAACAGAAACUGGGAAAUAUGCAUUUUUUAUUAUUUUUGGCGUUUCAACAACUUAACAAGGUGAGAAAGACUCGUAAAUGUGUACAUUGCAAAACUUUUACAGGACGUUAUGUUUCCUGCUGCUGCUAUUCUGCUAACAGAAUAUCCCACGUAUCCAUUGAAGGGUUGAGAAAAAUAAUGUAAUUACGUUAAUUAAAAAUGACUGGACAUUGCUGGCCGUAAUAACACAUGAUAUCUGUUUAAAGCUAGUGGCAUUUAGUACAUACAUUAGUAUAAUAAUAAAGUUAGACAAAAAAUGCUUAAUAAAAUUAUGAAUUUUCUUCUUAUGUUACAGCUCCUUGGUGUUUAUACGUUUAACCAAACCGCUACCAUUGUAACUGCAUGAUGAAAGAGAAACUUUGCUAUAUCACCUAUGGCAUCGAGAUGUGACAACUGUGCUUGUCACAAAUAGCUUUAAUAUAACGAAUUUUACUAACAUAAUACUGGUAUUCAGACCAACUUUGUUAAUUCGUUAGUCGUUACUCGGUAGUUUUUUACGUGGGUUUUGUUUUUGUAAAAUUAACAGAUUAUCGUUUUACCGAGUAACGAAGUACCAGACUGGCAAGCAUGAUAGUUUUUUUGUUACUUGAUAACAUCACUCAGCUGUUUUGUUUGCGUUGUUGCCUCAAAAGUUAACUUAAUUCAUUGCGAAAAAAAUACGUUUGCUGUCUACUACAAAUUAUUUUUUGACAUAUUUUUCAAAAGUAAGUAUUUAAUAUAAUUGAAUCAGCUGUUUUGAAACGAAAUUUACACUCACUACUGAUGUGUAGCAAAAAGUUUGUUCACAGUUAAGUGUUUUAACGAAGUAUCAACUACCGAACUACCAGAUUAACAAGUUCGGUCUGAAGACCCGUAAUAUUUUUUUCUUUACGACAGUUACCCGAUUGUCGUUAUAAAGGUUUAGAAAGCUAUUCCAACUGCAUUUAAUUAACAUUCAAGGACAAGGCAUCGAAUUUAUCCACAUGCGCACGAUAUGCUUGCACAAUUGCAAUCAUAUAUCGAUAUUUGGCGUGUGUGUGGUGUUAAACACUGAUCCAGCGAUGCCUUGUCCUUCAACGUUUAGGAAAUACUGUUGGAAUAGCGCCUCAAAACAUUUAUCACACAACAAUCGGGUAACUGUAGUAAAGAAAAAAAUAUUAUUAUUUUUCUUCUUUUGUCUAACUUUAUUAUUAUACUGUUGUAUCUACUAAGCGCCCCCAACUUUAAAUAGAUAGAUAGAUGCAAAAAAGAAAGUUUUAGCUAAAAACAUUCGCUUUGAUUUCUAUAUACAUAUAUGUAGGUAUAUUUAAAAUACGAAUAAUUGUUUGUAAUUAAAAUAUUUAUUAAAUAAGAGCUUACUUAUUCAAAGAUAAAGCUUGUUGAAACGCCAAAAUUAAGGGUGUAUUCUACUCUAGAAUUUUGAAAAAUUCGAUUUUUUUCAUAUAUUUAAAGUUUAGACCCUUAAGAUCAUAUUCUCCAAAGGACUUUUAAAAAUUAAAAUGGUUUUAAGAGCUACAGUUACUUUAGUGACGCAGUACCUAGCCUGGUUCGGCCGGACUCACUUCUUUAAGCGCGUUUUUCUCGAACCUACUUUUUUGCACACGGUACCGGCAUUUUCUCAAGUUCUAUACAACUGAUUUACUUGAAAUUUUGUGUGAGCCUUCUUUAUAUAAUCCUUUAUCGUUCCUACCAGCAUCGCGUCAAAAUUUUUAUUUUUAAUAUUAAAAAAAAUCAGGAUUUCAAAAAAGCAUAAAAAAUGGUUUUUUAUUUUCAGGCAGUCGCCAUUUCUCAAAAAAAGUUUUUUUUCGUGUUCCCUGAGGUAGGGACUAAAACAGCAUCCUUUCUGAUUAAGAAUUUCUUUUGAUUUUUUUGUUCAGACCACCAGGAGAGUCAGGAUCAAUGUCACCAGGAUGCGCCAUUGAUUUUUACACCUGUGUCUCCCCCCUCUAAUUAUUUUAAUUUUUAAUAUUUUUUUGUAAUUUUUUUUCUGUAUUCUUAAGAUAUCAAUAAAAACACCGUAAAAAAUGGAUAGUAAAAAUAUUUUUUGGUUUUUUUUUUUAAAUAAAAUUCAAAAAACUGCCCAAAAUUUGAUUUCUAGACUAGAAUUUCCCAGCUUCUGUUAUUAAUUCUUCUUCUUGAAAAAUUGAGAAUCUUUUUUUCUCUUUUAACAUAUUAAUAUUUCGAUAAGCUUGAAAGUCGACAGUUUUUCUCUUUUUUAAUUACGUUUUCUCUCAUUCAAUCGAAAAUUGCACAAGAUGUAACAGUGUUGGUGAGCAGCUGGGAAUGUUUCAAUGUGUUUGUGCAAUCUAUUACCUCCGUCUUGCAGGGUAGUAAUGUCAAAAGUUAAUCAAAUCACAAUAUACUUUUAGUCAUGUAUGUAGUGAUUUUCGACUUUGCACCUUAACUUUAAAUCGUUUAUGUUGAUUAAUAUGGAUUAUUGUCAUUUCACAACAAUUAAGUGACCAUGGUUUCUUAAACAUGAGGUGGUUUACCGCUGAAGAUGAAUGAAAUUCUUCCCGAUAUAAUACUAUAAAUAUGAAUCGAGUUUACGAGUAUAUCAUAUACAUACAUCUCACUUGACUUCAUUAGGCUGCUAUUAAUAUAACUAUGGCACAACUGGAAUAGAAUAUAGUAAUGAAAGUAAAUGAUUAAAUUAAUAAAGUUAAUAAACGCCUUUAAACAUACCUACGGCUUUGAUCCAUCAAACCGAGAAAGUUUAAAAUGUUCGGUUGCAUCCGCUGUUCUUUACUUGUUUUUGGUAUUAUAAAAUUUUAGAAAUAUUACCGUGAGGAGAUCCCACUUUUUUUUGUUUAAUUUCAGAGCAUAACCUAUGUUGGAUUCAUGAGGCCUCCAGCAAAUAGUACGAAUUGGAAUCCACAGCGAAGAAACUGAAAGAAUCUCGUUGGUUAUUUGAGCUUAGCGUGUCAUGGACCAUUAGCAGUAGUAGUAGAGUAGCAUAGGAAAACUUUAGUUUAUCUCUUACCGGCGAACUCAUAUCCCUGGAAUGACCAAUGGGGGAGUGGCUAAUCGAAUGACACAUAAGGAGUCGAAUUCUGAGAAACCAUUUUUCAGCAGCACAUUUUUCAGUAGAACGGUAGACUGUCGUGCGCAUUAUUGUGCUAGAGAAAGCCAUUAGGAACGCGAGGUGGGAACCGUUCUAGUUAUAGAAUGAUCGUUCAAAAAUAUUUUGCCGGAGGCGGUCAUAACAGUUUUAGUUAGAUUUAGAGUUGAAGGUUAUAAGGCUGGAGAGAACCGAUGAACCAUAUCGGCAAGCGCUGAUAAUGCUUAACGCGGAGUCCAUCGGUUCUCUCAGCAAAAUCAAGGGAGCCAUCAGCUAUGGGUUCGAAAUGGUAGUACUGAAGGUACUCCCAACGGAUACCAGGGCUGAUGGCGCUCUAGCUGCAGAUGCAGGGGAGAAGGGAGUAGGCGUUAGCGAUGGUCAAGCCACCACGGAAAACGACCCAAACCUCUCGGACGUGGCGAGUACUGGAGGCGGAUCGUCGAUCGGCGACUCCGUUUUCAGCCUCGAAAAAUUCUUUGAGGAGCAACGCUGACGUAGUUACAGCAAAGCUAGAGUGCGACACCGGUAAUAUCUGGCUAGUCGCUGCGUAUAUGCCUCACGACGAAGAGGUGGAGCCGCCUCCCGCAUUGCUAAGGAGGACCUUGGAUAAAGCGUCCCGGAAUGGUGCUGAUGUCAUCAUCGGCUCGGACACCAACUCGCGACUUUCGAUCUGGGGGAGCUCGGAUACCAACACUAGAGACGAUAUGAAGAAGAUUACACAUGGAAGACGCACACUAUCAGAAUAUCACAGCAAAAUCGGCAAAGGACUGAAUCUCGCACUCUCAAAGAUAGAGAUGUCAGGAGAACAAGGUCUUGCAUCCAUGUUAGAAUAUGUAAACCAAGAAACUGGGCUCAACAGCAGGUAUACAACGGCACAUUAUAUAGUCAUCACCCGACAAUGGGAACAUGUAGUUAUGACAGAAGGAGAUAUCACCCAAAUGUGCAGGGACAAUACAACAACCAACUACGCCAAGAACCAAUGGAGGUAGGUUACCCUCGUCAACACGUACGACGAACACAAUACAACAAUCAAUCCCGCUCAGAGAAGAUCAACAAGCAGCAAAACGCGGAAAAAUUCCUUCUUCAAAAAAUUACAACAGCUACAAGGUACAACGAGAUACGAAGAUCUACAAUCACUCGCCCACAGAAGGAAGGAAUAAGGAAGUGCUUUGUUAGGAGAAUAAAAGGAUUACCGUGUCUCCAAAGGCGGUGUCAAACGACAGUUAUAUCUGUUAAUAUUUUAAUUGAUACAGACGAUAUGAAGAAGAUUACACAUGGAAGACGCACACUAUCAGAAUAUCACAGCAAAAUCGGCAAAGGACUGAAUCUCGCACUCUCAAAGAUAGAGAUGUCAGGAGAACAAGGUCUUGCAUCCAUGUUAGAAUAUGUAAACCAAGAAACUGGGCUCAACAGCAGGUAUACAACGGCACAUUAUAUAGUCAUCACCCGACAAUGGGAACAUGUAGUUAUGACAGAAGGAGAUAUCACCCAAAUGUGCAGGGACAAUACAACAACCAACUACGCCAAGAACCAAUGGAGGUAGGUUACCCUCGUCAACACGUACGACGAACACAAUACAACAAUCAAUCCCGCUCAGAGAAGAUCAACAAGCAGCAAAACGCGGAAAAAUUCCUUCUUCAAAAAAUUACAACAGCUACAAGGUACAACGAGAUACGAAGAUCUACAAUCACUCGCCCACAGAAGGAAGGAAUAAGGAAGUGCUUUGUUAGGAGAAUAAAAGGAUUACCGUGUCUCCAAAGGCGGUGUCAAACGACAGUUAUAUCUGUUAAUAUUUUAAUUGAUACAGGUGCGACAAAUAAUUAUAUUAGUUCUAAGUGUAAAAUAGGAGAAUAUAAGUUAUUUUUAAUCUUCUUGUUAUUACUCCUUUGGGAUAGCGACGGUGUUGUCGACUAUCCAGAGUUAAGUUAUUCUUGAAGAUGGCUCAGUAAGGCUACCCUCUCAUUAAUGAUGGGGCUCUGACGGGCCACUGCCCUAUACAUGCUGUAAGACUGCGAAUCUUACCGGACGCCGCAUGCAGAAGCUGCUUGGAAGAAGAUGCAGUAGAAACUAGCCAGCACUUCCUUCUUGACUGCCCUGCUUUUGGGAGGUCAAGACUUUGACACUUGGUGGCACAUAGCUUCAGACUACCCGCCGAUCUGGCGGGCAUAGAAAUUAAGCGCUUCUGGAAAUUUGUUUUGGAUACUAAACGGUUUGCCGAUAUCUAAGUCCGAACACGGGAGUUCGAUUUUCAAUGGCUUCACAAACGACUACUUCUAUUAGUCUAUGUGCGUUCUCUUGAUCAGCCAUUUCACCUAACCUAACCUAGAGUUGAAUCCUUAAGCGUCAUUUUGCAAAAUCUUACUUUUGAUGAAGUGGAGUUGUGGAAAGAGGCUGUAUGCUAGCCGCUCUGAGUGGUA